GCCGAUACAAGUCUUCAUUGCACGUCUUUCCCCAGACGCCAUUCUGUGGCGCAGACGUUCAACCCCUACACCAACACAUGAGAAACAUGAUUGGGGGACCAUCGCCCUUCAGGCUGAGAGCUCCCGCCCCCGUGCUGCUCGCCGCGGCUGCCGCCCAACUUCAGCCAUACCCCACCUAUCGGCGCUUGGCAGUGGAGAGGCGGGCGAGUCCGGUACCAGGCUCCCUCGGUGUACGUCGAGUCGCAGGGCGGGGAAAGGGACAGGCAAGCUACACCGCGUGCCUACCCUCUACGGGGACAGCGGCUUAACAGCUUGGCCAGGGCGGUUGUCCGAUCUGCUCGUUAUUGUCAAACCUCGGCAAAAUGACGGUUCCCGGAAAAAGUGAAAAUGUUUGUCCAAACCAGUGGUUAUCCUACCCCGUUUGAGUCCAAUUUCAAAAAUAGGCUGAGGGCGUUUUGACGACGUCCCUGUUUGUAGUGACACAGUUGUAGCUACAACCGACACGGCCACUGGUGCCAACGACUGCGGUGGGAUGGGGAAAGUACUCCCCCAUGUUAUUAUUUUUAUUUUUGUCCUGGUGGGGAGGAGGGGCGUAUGAGCAUUUACGAAGCCGAGCGGACUAUUAUUGUAGCUGUGCCAAUUGAAGCUACAACUGUGUAGCAAC